AAGCCAGUCACAGAGUCUGCGCAGGUGAACACGAUCUGCAGAAACUUGUACAAAGCUGGCAAUAGUAAAGCCGUAUUACAAGACUUAAAGGCAUUGAAGUCAUUAAGGUCCCUGAAAAUGGCUUAUAAGA